rnacentral:tRNA from 1 species
GGGGAUAUAGCUCAGUGGUAGAGCACUUUUCUAGCAUGAGUGAGGCCCUGAAUUCAAUCCUCAAGACCCCA